rnacentral:rRNA from 1 species
ACGGAAGGCAGCAGUGAGGAAUAUUGGUCAAUGGGCGGAAGCCUGAACCAGCCAAGUCGCGUGAAGGAUGAAGGUAUUAUGUAUUGUAAGCUUCUUUAGACGUAGAGAAAUAAGGGGAUCGUGAUCCCUGAUGCUAGUAUACGUAGAAUAAGGAUCGGCUAACUCCGUGCCAGCAGCCGCGGUAAUACGGAGGAUCCGAGCGUUAUCCGGAUUUAUUGGGUUUAAAGGGUGCGCAGGCGGCUUUUUAAGUCAGUGGUUAAAUCGUGGAGCUUAACUCCAUCCCGCCAUUGAUACUGGAGAGCUUGAUUGCGGUUGAGGUUGGCGGAAUUCGCCGUGUAGCGGUGAAAUGCAUAGAUAUGGCGAAGAACUCCGAUUGCGUAGGCAGCUGACCAAGCCGUAAAUGACGCUCAUGCACGAAAGUGCGGGGAUCGAACAGGAUUAGAUACCCUGGUA